UGCAGCAAUAGUAUUUGGAGAUGGACAAGAGUCGAGGCUUUACCCACUGACAAAGAGAAGAUCUGAAGGGGCCAUUCCGAUAGCAGGAAACUACAGACUCAUUGAUGGAGUUGUAAGCAACUGCAUUAACAGUAACAUAACCAAGAUUUAUGUUUUAACGCAAUACAACUCCACGUCUCUCAAUUCCCACCUCUCAAGAGCUUAUUCUGGAGCACGUCUUGCCAACGAGGGAUUUGUCGAAGUGAUUGCAGCAUAUCAGAGUCCUGAAAACAGUGGGUGGUUUCAGGUUAGUGUUUCCUUUAUGCAUAGAUAUACAUGGAAACUGCAUCUUAAUGUAAUCGUAUACUCCUCUGUUCCAAAAUUAGAGAUACAUCUCUAAAACGACGACUUUUAUGGGAAACUUUGCUUUUCCAAACAUAUCCCUAUAUUUGCUAGAAUUGUAGUAGUGGAGGUAUGGUAGUACUCAAUUUAUCUAGUGUAUAAGUAAUGACAUGUUAGGAACUUCAUGUAACUUUAUAGUCUAUAAAUAGAAAUGUAUCCCUAAUUUGAAAAACAAAUUCUUUAAUUUUGGAACAAAGGGACUAUAUUUUUUACAUAUCUAACAUAUCAUAACUACUCCAACUAUAUUCUUCUAUGUUUAGGGAACUGCCGAUGCUGUAAGAAGAUGCUUGUGGGUACUAGAAGAAUAUCCAGUAGUUGAGUUUCUGGUCCUUCCUGGUCACCAUCUAUACAAGAUGGACUAUCAGAAACUUAUAGAGGCCCACCGAAGCAACAAUGCUGAUGUAACUGUAGCGGUCUUGAGUAGCAUGAGAAAUCAUGAUCCGGCUUAUGGUAGUUUUAUAGUAGAUACAGAUAAUCAAGUUAUCAAGUUUAAAGAGAAAGCAAGACAGGCACCGGUGAAGUCCACGUCAGUAAGUUUUUUACUUACUUUUGCUUAGAGAUUCUCUUCUUUUAUAUAUUAAUUGUAGUCUUCUCUUAAUUUGGGUAUGGACAAGAACAUGAGAAACAAUAUCUUAAGAAGCUCCUAUUGUAAUUUCAGGAACAAAGCUCAGUAAUGUUCAAUGAUACUUCUCACAAUAAUUUCCCAAGCAUGGGGAUCUACGUCAUAAACAGAGAUGUAAUGGUAAAGCUACUAAGAGAAUACUUACCCAAGUCAAAUGACUUGAGAAGUGAAGUAGUACCAGCUGCAAUAUCCUUAGGAAUGAAGGUGAUCAGGUUCUUUAAUCUUUUAUAUUACGUGGAUAGGUCUCACCAUGUAUUCGUUUUGCAAUUUUCAUUUCUUUGUUCUUAACUCUAGAGGAAAUAUUUCAUGCAAUGAACCAGGUUCAGGCAUAUCAAUUUGAUGGGUACUGGGAGGACAUGAGAAACAUUGAAGCAUUUUACCAUGCAAAUAUGGAAGGCACAAAGAAAACAAAUAUGGCAUAUAAGUCGGUAGCUUAAAAUAUUAGGAGAAGUAAAAGGAUAUAGCCAGUGCAUUGCUUUAGUGAAUAUCUCACCUAUAUUCGGUCUCACAUCCAACUAAUAGAAAUUUCAUCUUUUGUUAGCAGCUUCUAUGAUAGAGAUUCUCCUGUUUACACUCUACCUCGGUAUCUGCCUCCAACUCUAAUAACAGAUGCUACAAUUACAGAUAGUGUUAUUGGCGAUGGUUGCAUCCUCAGUGUAAGGAACUAGCUUUAAUCAGCCUCAAAACUAAGGAAAUACAUAUGAGUAAAUCUACACACACGUCCAAUUUACACUCUCCUUGCCGAUACGCAGGUAACUUGGUCGUUUUGGGUAAAAAAAUUUACUCCUUUCUGUCCCACAUCUCACCACUCCUCCCCAGUUAACUGUCCUCUGUCCCAAUUUCUCUCUCUUCUUCAACAAAUCCAAUCAUGGGUUUUCAAGCUGAUGAAGAAAUUGGAAACCCAAAAAUUGAUCAAAAAUCAUCCUAUUUUCGCUAUAAUUCCCCAUUAGUCCAAGUAGGUCUGAUUGGACUGAAAGUAUAGAAAUACAGCAUAAUUAUUAUGCACAUGUAAGUGCAUGUAAUUGAAGCAACAUGAGCAAAUUAGAACUUUACCAUUGCGAAGUGUUAAAGGAAAAUCAGUCCAUAACUCCGUCCGCUUCGAAAUCUUGAGAACAAAUUCCACAACUUCCUCCGUUAUACCCACUGCAUCUUCGUCCUCCUCUUCUUCGCCUCCAAAUUAGAGGAAAGCAGGGAGAGACUCGUUUUGAAGCUACCGCCGAUCUCAACUAAAUCUUUUUUAAUUCCGAGAAAUGUCUCCGAAGAAGUGUCCUCGGCCGGGGUGGGGACGGAGGAGGGAGGCAAUGGAGUGAGGAAGUCGGCGACGCCGCGGAGUUGGCGGCCGAUAGUUUGGCCUAGGACGGAGAGGUCUUCUUUGACGGUGGGAGGUGUAGUAGGGUUUUGAUCUUGGUGAUCUUCUUCUGAUGAGGAUUUGAAGGGAUUUCUUUGUCAGCUUAAAAACCAUGAUUGGAUUUGCUAGAAGAAGAGAGAGAAAUUGGGACAGAGGAUAGUUAACUGAGGAGGAAGAGGAGUGGUGAGACGUGGGACAAAGGAGUAAAAAAAAUACCCAAAACGACCAAGCUCCCUGCGUAUCGGCAAGGAGAGUGUAAAUUGGAUGUGUGCGUAGAUUUACUCAAUACAUAUAUAUACAUAAUAGCAAGGAGCAUAAAUACAUAAUAACAUUUAUAUAUCAUGAACACUUUGUCAUAUUUGUGAAGUUUAUUUUUUUACUUUCUUUCAAUUCUCUUUGUUGGUAUUUACUUUCUUUCAUACAGAAAUGCAGCAUCAAAGGUUCAGUACUUGGUCUGAGGACAAGGGUUGGAGAUGGGGCCGUAAUCAAGGAUUCAGUAAUCAUGGGUUCUGAUAUCUAUCAAGUAAGACUGUAAGAGGCAUCACAAAUAUUUCACCUUUCCUUUAUUAAUCCAUUAAUUUCUUGAAGGCUAUUUGGGACGUAAGUGAAAAUGGAUCAAUUCCAAGAUGGGAUUUAAACGAGUAAGCUAAUACUUAUUACUUUUUUAAAAAAUUGUUAUCAAACAAAUAAAGAUUAUCAUAGUGAGAUGACUCCCAUUUUGUUUAGGGAAUUUCUAUGUCCUCAAGAAAACAUGCUACUUUGACAAGGUCCCCCUCACAUUAAUAGUAUGUCCCGCACUCGUGAACCGGGCCUUGUGGAACUAGCGAAAUAAUUUGUGAAAAUAGUUUUAUCAUAAUGUGAAAGCACUGUCGAAGUAAAAUUUUAAGUAUUUCAAAUUUACACUAAUACCAAACACCUGAUUAAUAAUUUCAUUUCUCAUGCAAAUGUAUAACAAACAAAAUAUGUGCAGAAUGGUAAUGAAGACAAGGGCUUGGCCAUCCCUAUUGGCAUUGGGGAAGGUUCGCACAUACAGAAAGCUAUAGUAGAUAAGAAUGCAAGGAUCGGAAAAAAUGUUAUGGUACAAAUCUAGUAAUACUGCGAUAUCCAAUGCAUGUUAUGAUUUAUUUCACUUUGGCAAUUUUAUAGACUAUCAGUAUUUGUAUUUAUUUUUAAUAAGUUUUGAAGGUUAACAAGUUUCAGUACGAAAUGCAAAUCCAACUAUAUUCAAUAUUAGGCAUUAAACAUAAUUUUCUCAAACAAUAUUAUAUCCUAAGUCUUUUAUGAUAUCGUUACCAUAAUGAAAUUGUAAUAAGCAGCCUACAAACUUUUUGCCCUAGUUUCUCCUCUGCUAUAAACAGACGUACAAAACAUAGAUAUAUAUAUAUAUAUAUAUACUUACAUAAAAUGCCUACAUUGCACAUCUAUUUUGUGUGUUGUACAAUGUACAGAGAUAUGUGCAUUUCUAUAUACUCUCAGAGUUGCAAUAUUCAUAUUAUGUUGAGAAUUCUCUUUAUCAUUUACCAUCGGAUAAAUGUAUUUUGAUGUCAUGUAGAUUGUAAAUAAAGACAACGUCCAAGAAGGGAACAAUGAAGCUUAUGGCUACAUAAUCACAAUGGGGAUAGUUGUAAUACUAAAGGGAGCUGUCAUCCCAGACGAAAGUGUCCUAUGAGAAUCAUUUCAGAAGCAAAUAGAUUAUUCUUUGAUUAUUAAUUCAGUACAGAAGAAUAUACAGCUUCAGGGGCUCAAAUGUAUACCCGAAUCUCCCCUGAUUUUCCUUUCUUUGUAUUCCUUUAUUCGUCCCUUUUCUUUCUAUUGUCAUUUUCUUCUCCACCUCAGCCGAAUAACUCAUCUUGACUAUGAUAUGUCAUGUCAUACAAAAUAAUUUAGUUCAUGUGAAUUUCAAAUCUCUUCCUUUUAGUUUUUUC
rnacentral:lncRNA from 1 species